GAUAAACGCUAGCGGCAGGCUUAACACAUGCAAGUCGAGGGGCAGCAUAGAUUGUAGCAAUACAAUUGGUGGCGACCGGCGCACGGGUGCGUAACGCGUAUGCAACCUACCCGACACAGGGGGAUAACCCGGAGAAAUCUGGUCUAAUACCCCAUAACAUAUGGAUCGGCAUCGGUUCAUGUUGAAAUUUUCGGAGGUGAAGGAUGGGCAUGCGUAGCAUUAGCUUGUUGGUGAGGUAACGGCUCACCAAGGCGACGAUGCUUAGGGGGACUGAGAGGUUUUCCCCCCACACUGGUACUGAGACACGGACCAGACACCUACGGGAGGCAGCAGUGAGGAAUAUUGGUCAAUGGGCGCAAGCCUGAACCAGCCAUGCCGCGUGCAGGAUGACGGCUCUAUGAGUUGUAAACUGCUUUUGUACGAGGGUAAAGUGGGUUACGUGUAACCUUUUGGAAGUAUCGUACGAAUAAGGAUCGGCUAACUCCGUGCCAGCCGCCGCAGUAAGAC
rnacentral:rRNA from 1 species